rnacentral:rRNA from 1 species
GAUGAACGCUGGCGGCGUGCCUAACACAUGCAAGUCGAGCGAUUCUCUUCGGAGAAGAGCGGCGGACGGGUGAGUAACGCGUGGGUAACCUGCCCUGUACACACGGAUAACAUACCGAAAGGUAUGCUAAUACGAGAUGAUAUAUAAAAGUUGCAUGACUUUUAUAUCAAAGCUUUUGCGGUACAGGAUGGACCCGCGUCUGAUUAGCUAGUUGGUAAGGUAACGGCUUACCAAGGCGACGAUCAGUAGCCGACCUGAGAGGGUGAUCGGCCACACUGGAACUGAGACACGGUCCAGACUCCUACGGGAGGCAGCAGUGGGGAAUAUUGCACAAUGGGCGAAAGCCUGAUGCAGCAACGCCGCGUGAGCGAUGAAGGCCUUCGGGUCGUAAAGCUCUGUCCUCAAGGAAG